AGCGAACGCUGGCGGCAGGCCUAACACAUGCAAGUCGAACGGACCCUUCGGGGUUAGUGGCGGACGGGUGAGUAACACGUGGGAACGUGCCUUUAGGUUCGGAAUAGCUCCUGGAAACGGGUGGUAAUGCCGAAUGUGCCCUUCGGGGGAAAGAUUUAUCGCCUUUAGAGCGGCCCGCGUCUGAUUAGCUAGUUGGUGAGGUAAUGGCUUACCAAGGCGACGAUCAGUAGCUGGUCUGAGAGGAUGACCAGCCACAUUGGGACUGAGGCACGGCCCAAACUCCUACGGGAGGCAGCAGUGGGGAAUCUUGCGCAAUGGGCGAAAGCCUGACGCAGCCAUGCCGCGUGGAUGAUGAAGGUCUUAGGAUUGUAAAAUCCUUUCACCGGUGAAGAUAAUGACUGUAGCCGGAGAAGAAGCCCCGGCUAACUUCGUGCCAGCCGCCGCCGUAAGAC
rnacentral:rRNA from 1 species